UUCCACGAAGGUGGAUCACACGCGGGAAUCGAACAAGGCUCAAGUAGCGUCCUUUCCCCCCCCGAAUGAUCUAUUAUUAGGCGAGGCUUAAGGGUGGGGCCGGAGAGAGAGAAAGCCUGGUUUAGAAAGUGGGGGAAAGCGAGCGAGCGAUCGCGCCUCGACCUCCACGGAGCCUGUUCCCUCCCUUCUCAACUUGAGGCUGCCGGGUUGCAGGGAGAGAGCGAGCAUGUGAUCGCAUUGGCUCGCCUUGCCAUGGUGUGGCAGCAGCGCGGGCAGCAAUGGAGGCGGCUUAAGGGACGAGGCUGGGCGGCUGCUGCUGCUGCUGGCUGGCUAGACCGCAGAUGGGAAAGCCCGACCCAAUUUCUCGUCGCCAAAUCCAGCUGGAAAGAAGAGCAUUAAUUGGCAUACCGAAGAAGUGCAUGAAAAGUUUUGAUACUUUGGAAAAGCCUGAGUAGACCCGUAUAUAAGAAGAUUAAACUUUGGGAAGGUAAG